CAGUAGCCGCGGUAAUACAGAGGGUGCAAGCGUUAAUCGGAAUUACUGGGCGUAAAGCGCGCGUAGGUGGUUCGCCAAGUUGGAUGUGAAAUCCCCGGGCUCAACCUGGGAACUGCAUUUGUGACUGUAUAGCUAGAGUACGGCAGAGGGGGAUGGAAUUCCGCGUGUAGCAGUGAAAUGCGUAGAUAUGCGGAGGAACACCGAUGGCGAAGGCAAUCCCCUGGGCCUGUACUGACGCUCAUGCACGAAAGCGUGGGGAGCAAACAGGAUUAGAUACCCAGUAGUCCCUGUCUCUUAUACA
rnacentral:rRNA from 1 species